CGGUCCGGCAGCUUGACCUGUACGGCGUCCGCGAGCGCAUCGAUCGAAAGCUACAUCAAGAAGCAGGACCCAGACCAGCGGAGUCUUCUUUCUCUAGGCCAAUGAAUCUCGGGUCUUAAUAAAUCAAGCAGGGAGUUCGGGCGGUCUUCUUCCCAUAUGCCGGCCAUGCAAGUGCCGGAGCAGAGCACCGGAGUUACCGUGAACCUGCCUAUGGGCUCGGGCUGCGCUUCGUCGCCGCCCACCUCCCCGCAGCCGCGCCACGGGAGGCUGGUCACCGUGCUGAGCAUCGACGGCGGCGGCGUGCGAGGGAUCAUCCCCGGCACCAUCCUCGCGUUCCUCGAACAAAAGCUUCAGGAGUUUGAUGGGCCGGACGCGAGGAUCGCAGAUUACUUCGACGUGGUCGCCGGGACGAGCACCGGAGGCCUGGUGGCCGCUAUGCUCACCGCGCCCAACGACCAGGGCCGCCCGCUCUUCGCCGCCAAGGACGUCAACAAGUUCUACCUCGAGCACUGCCCGAAUAUCUUCCCUGCCGCGUGCAAAGGACCUCUGGGCUUGUUCAAGAGCAUGAUGGGACCCAAGUACAACGGCCAGCACCUGCACUCGGUCGUGAAGGAGCUGCUCGGCAACACGCGAGUCAGUCAGACACUCAAGAGCAUCGUCAUCCCCACUUUCGACAUCAAGCUCCUUCAGCCUACGAUCUUCUCGACCUACGAUGUGCGUACGCAGAAGAACGUAAACACAUGCAUCUGUAUACACAACAUGAAACAAAAUAUUUACGUGCAGGCCAUGAGGGAUGUCACCAAGGAUGCUCUUCUAUCGGAUGUCUGCAUUAGUACGUCUGCCGCGCCCACCUACCUCCCCGGGCACCAUUUUGAGACCAAGGACAAAGACGGUAAGACCCGGGCCUUCAACCUCAUCGACGGAGGCGUCGCCGCUAACAAUCCGACCCUUGUGGCGAUGACCCAUGUAAGCAAGCAGAUCCUGAUGAAAAACAUGAACUUCUUUCCCGUCAAGCCGGCGGAGUAUGGCAAGUUCAUGGUCCUUUCGCUGGGCACCGGCACCGCCAAGGUCGAAGAGAAGUUCGAUGCUGCCAUGUGCAGCAAGUGGGGCCUUCUCGGGUGGCUCUACAAGGGGGGCACCACGCCGAUUAUCGACAGCUUCAGCCAAGCCAACGCUGAUCUCGUCGAUAUCCAGGCAUCCGUGCUCUUCCAGGCGCUGCACUGUGACCGCGACAGGCGCUACCUCCGGAUCCAGGACGAUGAGCUCACAGGCGAAACGGCCUCCGUCGACGUGUCCACGACGGAGAACCUCAAAAGGCUCAUCGAUGUCGGCAAGGCAUUGCUGAAGAGGCAGGUGUGCAAGGUGAACAUUGAGACAGGCAAGAACGAGCCUGACCUAGAGAGGGGCACCAACGAGGAGGAACUGACCCAUUUUGCACGCAAGCUGUCGGAAGAGCACAAAGCUAGAUUGUCUUGCGGUGGUGGGUCUCGAAACUUAGAUAUUACUCUAUGAAUAUCUGUUCGAAUUUGAUGACCUACGCCAUCACCCAUCAAAGCCCUAAUGCUUUUAUGUUAGUAUAUCUGUAGAUAUAGUUCUUGUGUAGACAAACAAUGAUUUCUGUCAUAUUUGUUGUAUGUGCUUUAAAUAAAGACGUUGACUCUCGUUAUACGCCCCUCUCUUCCUGAUGCAUACAACGCAUCGUUUUAAACUGGGCGUGCCAUGUCUCUUAAC
rnacentral:rRNA from 1 species